UACGUAGGUGGCGAGCGUUAUCCGGAUUUACUGGGCGUAAAGGGAGCGUAGGCGGGCUUUUAAGUGAGAUGUGAAAUACUCGGGCUCAACUUGAGUGCUGCAUUUCAAACUGGAAGUCUAGAGUGCAGGAGAGGAGAAUGGAAUUCCUAGUGUAGCGGUGAAAUGCGUAGAGAUUAGGAAGAACACCAGUGGCGAAGGCGAUUCUCUGGACUGUAACUGACGCUGAGGCUCGAAAGCGUGGGGAGCAAACAGG
rnacentral:rRNA from 1 species